rnacentral:rRNA from 1 species
AUUGAACGCUGGCGGCAGGCUUAACACAUGCAAGUCGAGCGGAGAUGAGGUGCUUGCACCUUAUCUUAGCGGCGGACGGGUGAGUAAUGCUUAGGAAUCUGCCUAUUAGUGGGGGACAACAUUCCGAAAGGAAUGCUAAUACCGCAUACGCCCUACGGGGGAAAGCAGGGGAUCUUCGGACCUUGCGCUAAUAGAUGAGCCUAAGUCGGAUUAGCUAGUUGGUGGGGUAAAGGCCUACCAAGGCGACGAUCUGUAGCGGGUCUGAGAGGAUGAUCCGCCACACUGGGACUGAGACACGGCCCAGACUCCUACGGGGGCAGCAGUGGGGAAUAUUGGACAAUGGGCGGAAGCCUGAUCCAGCCAUGCCGCGUGUGUGAAGAAGGCCUUUUGGUUGUAAAGCACUUUAAGCGAGGAGGAGGCUACCUGGAUUAAUACUCUAGGAUAGUGGACGUUACUCGCAGAAUAAGCACCGGCUAACUCUGUGCCAGCCGCCGCGAUAACAC